rfam:Myotis davidii contig123173, whole genome shotgun sequence.
AGGUCCAAAAAGAGAGGCAAGGUCUGAUCCGCAGCCUCUAUGGCAGCUGAUGAUCUGCUGUUUCCUCUCUCUUUCUCUCAG